rnacentral:rRNA from 1 species
UACGAAGGGUGCAAGCGUUAAUCGGAAUUACUGGGCGUAAAGCGUGCGUAGGCGGUUUGUUAAGUCUGAUGUGAAAGCCCUGGGCUCAACCUGGGAACUGCAUUGGAUACUGGCAAGCUAGAGUACGGUAGAGGAAGGUGGAAUUCCCGGUGUAGCGGUGAAAUGCGUAGAGAUCGGGAGGAACAUCUGUGGCGAAGGCGACCUUCUGGACCAGUACUGACGCUGAGGCACGAAAGCGUGGGGAGCAAACAGGAUUAGAUACCCCGGUAGU